CUAACUAUUUAUCAUAGUAUGACACUAUUUAGGCGAUGCCUGGAAAUCUAUUUGAGAUUCGGAGUGAUGCCUUAGCAAACUAUUCUUCGGUCGCUUAUCCA